UAAAAUAAAAGUUUAAAAUGCAGGACCAUAGUCUAAAGGGAGCAGGCGAGCAACCAGGCUUCUCCAGUGUACAGUGGCGAGGUUGGUUUCGCCACAAUAUAUAUAUAUAUAUAUUUUAAUUGGGGUAGCCCCCAAAAUAUUGGGACAUAUAAAAAAGACAACUCUGUUCCGCAGCGUAGGUGUUGACAUUAUAGUUGCGCAGGCACUUUGUUGACUCUAGAGAACCUCGGGCCAAUCGCACAUCCCUGUGGCAGCGACUUUGCAUGCGGAUGUCAUCCAAAUCAACUUUCAAUGCCAGUUUAACAGGGAAUCAGGGUUCCAUUCCGUACAGGGAUCCUGAGAAACGGCUACCACAUGCAAGGAAGGCAGCAGGCGCGCAAAUGACCCACUCCAGAUGCGGGAAGGUAGUGAUGACAAAUAACAAUACAGGGCUCUUUAGAGGCCCUGUAAUUGUAAUGAGUCCACUUGAAAUCCUUUAACUCUGAUCAAUUGGAAGGAAGUCUGAUGCAGAGCCACUGACCCGUGUGUGCUGCAGCUGAAACUCCACUA